rnacentral:rRNA from 1 species
GACGAACGCUGGCGGCGUGCUUAACACAUGCAAGUCGAACGGGCCUUGUCCCCUUUUUUUUGGGGGUGGGGUUAGUGGCGAACGGGUGAGUAACACGUGAGUAACCUGCCCCUCACUUCUGGAUAACCGCUUGAAAGGGUGGCUAAUACGGGGUGUUCUGGCCUGCUCGCAUGGGUGGGUUUGGAAAGAUUCGACCGGUUUUGGUUGUUUUGGUGGGGGAUGGGCUCGCGGCCUAUCAGCUUGUUGGUGGGGUGAUGGCCUGCCAAGGCUUUGACGGGUAGCCGGCCUGAGAGGGUGGGCGGUCACACUGGGACUGAGACACGGCCCAGACUCCUACGGGAGGCAGCAGUGGGGAAUAUUGCACAAUGGGCGCAAGCCUGAUGCAGCGACGCCGCGUGAGGGAUGGAGGCCUUCGGGUUGUGAACCUCUUUCGCCAGUGAAGAAGGUCCUGCUCUUUGUGGUGGGGUUGACGGUAGCUGGGUUAAUGAAGCGCCGGCUAAUUACGUG